rnacentral:rRNA from 1 species
AGAGUUUGAUCCUGGCUCAGGACGAACGCUGGCGGCACGCUUAACACAUGCAAGUCGAACGGAGUUAAACGAGAGCUUGCUCUUGUUUAACUUAGUGGCGGACGGGUGAGUAACACGUGAGCAACCUGCCUUUAGGAGAGGGAUAACAGUCUGAAAAGACUGCUAAUACCUCAUAACAUAACGAAGCCGCAUGACUUUGUUAUCAAAGAUUUAUCGCUUAAAGAUGGGCCCGCGUCUGAUUAGCUUGUUGGUGAGGUAACGGCCCACCAAGGCGACGAUCAGUAGCCGUACUGAGAGGUAGAUCGGCCACAUUGGGACUGAGACACGGCCCAGACUCCUACGGGAGGCAGCAGUGGGGAAUAUUGCACAAUGGAGGAAACUCUGAUGCAGCGAUGCCGCGUGAGGGAAGAAGGUUUUCGGAUUGUAAACCUCUGUCUUCAGGGACGAUAAUGACGGUACCUGAGGAGGAAGCUCCGGCUAACUACGUGCCAGCAGCCGCGGUAAUACGUAGGGAGCAAGCGUUGUCCGGAAUUACUGGGUGUAAAGGGAGUGUAGGCGGGAUGGUAAGUUAGGUGUGAAAUCUAUGGGCUCAACCCAUAAAUUGCACUUAAAACUGCUGUUCUUGAGUGAAGUAGAGGUUAGCGGAAUUCCUAGUGUAGCGGUGAAAUGCGUAGAUAUUAGGAGGAACAUCAGUGGCGAAGGCGGCUAACUGGGCUUUUACUGACGCUGAGGCUCGAAAGCGUGGGGAGCAAACAGGAUUAGAUACCCUGGUAGUCCACGCUGUAAACGAUGAUUACUAGGUGUGGGGGAGGCUGACCCUUUUCCGUGCCGCAGUUAACACAAUAAGU